rnacentral:rRNA from 1 species
AUUGAACGCUGGCGGCAGGCUUAACACAUGCAAGUCGAGCGAGCGGCGGACGGGUGAGUAAUGUCUGGGAAACUGCCUGAUGGAGGGGGAUAACUACUGGAAACGGUAGCUAAUACCGCAUACCAUCAGAUGUACCCAGAUGGGAUUAGCUAGUAGGCGGGGUAAUGGCUCACCUAGGCGAUGAUCCCUAGCUGGUCUGAGGGGCUGACCAGCAACACUGGAACGGGAACACGGUCCAGACUCCUACGUGAGGCAGCAUUGGGGAAUAUUGCACAAUGGGCGCAAGCCUGAUGCAGCCAUGCCGCGUGUGGGAAGAGGGCCUUCGGGUUGUAAAGCACUUUCAGCGAGGAGGCGUUACUCGCAGAAGAAGCACCGGCUAACUCCGUGCCAGCAGCCGCGGUAAUUC